GCUGCCCUCUUUUUGUCUCUUUUUUUUGGCUAAAAGGAUUGAAUUCGCUGUACCGUAGGGGUGGGAGCACCAGAAUCCACGUGGUGGUUUGAGUCUUUGCAGAGCACACCCCAGAGCUGCUGGGGGGCAGGGCUGGCUUGGCCCUUCCUCUCUCAGAGGCUUUGCCUUAAUUUUGCUGCUCUUUGGAGCCCUCCUGGCUCACAGUGGCUGGGAGAGCCCCGGAAGAACCAUCAUAGAACCAUCCUGGAGACAUCCUGGAACCAUCCUGGCACCAUCCAGGUUCACAGAUGGAGCUCUGCCUCUUUCCUGGCUGGGAGAGCCCCAGAAGAACCAUCCUGGAGCUAUCCUGGAGACAUCCUGGAGCCAUCCUGGAGCUGUCCUGGCUCAGAAGUGGAGCUCUGCCUCUUUCCUGGCUGGGAGAGCCCCAGAAGAACCAUCCUGGAAUCAUCCUGUGACCAUCCUGGAGCUAUCCUGGCACCAUCCUGGCACCAUCCAGGCUCACAGGUGGAGCUCUGCCUCCUUGCUGGCUGGGAGAGCCCCCGAGGAGCAGAGGGGGCUCGGGGGAGGCACCUGGAGGAGAGCAGAGGGCAGGGCUGGGGGGUGGGAAGGGAUUUCAGGGCUUGGGGUCACAGAGACUGAGGCAGCUGGGCAGGAGAGUGAUCCCAGAUAUGGAAAGUGAUCCCAGAUCUCACAGGUGUGAUCCCAGGCCUGGAAAUUGUCAUCUCAGACCUGGAAAUUGUGAUCCCACAUCUGAAAAGUGAUCCCUGAUCUGGCAGGUGUGAUCCCAGAUAUGGAAAGUGUGAUCUCAGAUCUGGAAAUUGUGAUUCUAGGUUUGGAAAGUGUGAUCCCAGCUCUGACAGGUGUGAUCCCAGAUCUGAAAUUGUGAUCCCAGAUCUGAAAUUGUGACCCCAGCUCUCACAGGUGUGAUCCCAGAUCUGAGACUGUGAUCCCAGCUCUCACAGGUGUGAUCCCAGAUCUGAAAUUGUGAUCCCAGAUCUGAAAUGGUGACCCCAGCUCUCACAGGUGUGGCCCCAGCUCUGCAGGCAUGCUCAGGUGUGUGCUUUAGAGCUUCAAAGUGCUGACAUUGGCUGAGAUGAAACAAAUUCCAGGUCUGAGGUGCUGUUGGGCCGAGCUGCCUGGGAUGUGUCCCUGGCUCAACUCACAGGGGACAGCGUGUCCAGAGGGGUGGGACAGCCUGGGCAGUGUGUGAAACACCUUUGGGUGCUUUGGGGGCAGAGCCCCACCUCAGCUGGGGGAGCUUGGCUGAGCUUGGCCAGGGGGACAAAACCAGAGGGGCCUGACUGGAUUUGGUCAGGAGGAUAAAACCAGAAAGACUUGACUGAAUUUGGCCAGGGGGACAAAACCAGAGGGGCAAAACCAGAGGGGCUUGGCUGAAUUUUGCCAGAGGGAUAAAACCAGAAGGAUUUGGCUGAGCUUGACCAGAGGGAUAAAACCAGAAAGACUUGACUGAAUUUGGCCAGGGGGACAAAACCAGAGGGGCUUGGCCAGAAGGACACAACCAGAAGGAUUGGGCUGAGCUUGACCAGAGGGGUUUGGCUGAAUUUAACCAGAGGG